AAUGAACGUUGGCGGCGUGGAUUAGGCAUGCAAGUCGUGCGGCAAGGAAGACUUCGGUCUUCCCUAGAGCGGCGAAAGGGAUAGGAACACAUAGAUACAUGCCUCUUAGCCCGGGAUAGCGUUUGGAAACGAACGAUAAUACCGGACGCCCUCUCCGGAGGAAAGGUGAGAUUCCGCUAAGAGAUUGGUCUAUGUCCUAUUAGCUAGUUGGUAAGGUAACGGCUUACCAAGGCGAUGAUGGGUACGGGGUGUGAGAGCAUGACCCCGAUCACUGGGACUGAGACACUGCCCAGACGCCUACGGGCGGCUGCAGUCGAGAAUCUUCGGCAAUGGACGAAAGUCUGACCGAGCGACGCCGCGUGUAUGACGAAGGUCUUCGGAUUGUAAAGUACUGUCGAUUAGGCGGAAAUGAAUUGGGGCCAUCCCUUAUUUUGACCUAUCAUUGGAGGAAGGACGGGCUAAGUUCGUGCCAGCAGCCGCGGU
rnacentral:rRNA from 1 species